GACGAACGCUGGCGGCGUGCUUAACACAUGCAAGUCGAACGGAAAGGCCCUGCUUUUGUGGUGUGCUCGAGUGGCGAACGGGUGAGUAACACGUGAGUAACCUGCCCUUGACUUUGGGAUAACUUCAGGAAACUGGGGCUAAUACCGGAUAGGAGCUCCUGCUGCAUGGUGGGGGUUGGAAAGUUUCGGCGGUUGGGGAUGGACUCGCGGCUUAUCAGCUUGUUGGUGGGGUAGUGGCUUACCAAGGCUUUGACGGGUAGCCGGCCUGAGAGGGUGACCGGCCACAUUGGGACUGAGAUACGGCCCAGACUCCUACGGGAGGCAGCAGUGGGGAAUAUUGCAAAAUGGGCGGAAGCCUGAUGAAGCAACGCCGCGUGCGGGAUGACGGCCUUCGGGUUGUAAACCGCUUUCGCCUGUGACGAAGCGUGAGUGACGGUAAUGGGUAAAGAAGCACCGGCUAACUACGUG
rnacentral:rRNA from 1 species